AGAGUUUGAUCCUGGCUCAGAACGAACGCUGGCGGCAGGCCUAACACAUGCAAGUCGAACGCCCUAGCAAUAGGGAGUGGCAGACGGGUGAGUAACACGUGGGAACCUUCCCUAUAGUACGGAAUAGCCCAGGGAAACUUGGAGUAAUACCGUAUACGCCCGUAAGGGGAAAGAUUUAUCGCUAUAGGAUGGGCCCGCGUCGGAUUAGCUAGUUGGUGAGGUAAUGGCUCACCAAGGCGACGAUCCGUAGCUGGUUUGAGAGAACGACCAGCCACACUGGGACUGAGACACGGCCCAGACUCCUACGGGAGGCAGCAGUGGGGAAUAUUGGACAAUGGGCGAAAGCCUGAUCCAGCCAUGCCGCGUGCGGGAAGAAGGCCUUCGGGUUGUAAACCGCUUUAGUCCGGGAAAAAGGGGUGCGAGGAUAAUACCUCGUGCUUUGAUGGUACUGGAAGAAUAGCCCG
rnacentral:rRNA from 1 species